GGAAUAUUGGACAAUGGGCGCAAGCCUGAUCCAGCCAUGCCGCGUGUGUGAAGAAGGUCUUCGGAUUGUAAAGCACUUUAAGUUGGGAGGAAGGGUAGUAACUUUAUACGUUGCUAUUUUGACGUUACCGACAGAAUAAGCACCGGCUAACUUAGUGCCAGCAGCCGCGGUAAUACGAAGGGUGCAAGCGUUAAUCGGAAUUACUGGGCGUAAAGCGCGCGUAGGUGGUGCAGUAAGUUGGAUGUGAAAUCCCCGGGCACAACCUGGGAACUGCAGCCAAAACUGUUGAACUAGAGUACGGUAGAGGGUGGUGGAAUUUCCUGUGUAGCGGUGAAAUGCGUAGAUAUAGGAAGGAACACCAGUGGCGAAGGCGACCACCUGGACUGAUACUGACACUGAGGUGCGAAAGCGUGGGGAGCAAAC
rnacentral:rRNA from 1 species